AGACUGAUGAAGAGUCCCAAACUAGGACGAAACAGCUGUCCUGUAU
rfam:Trichobilharzia regenti genome assembly, scaffold: TRE_scaffold0040393